rnacentral:lncRNA from 1 species
AGUUCAUCAGUGGGGGGAGGAGAAAAUGGAGCAGAAGAGAAGUGUUGGCCAGACUUUCCCAGGAUUCCCAGCAUUGAUUUUUCAGACUCUACAAUCCCACCAGCAAUCAUGAAUGGGGCCAAAGGAAACAAGAGGUAACAGUGAAACUGCCUAAUGGCAAGCUUCCACGAAUAUCUGGGAGAUCCUAUGCUAUACAGCUAAGAUAAGGAUGGCAGAUGCAGAGAUGGUCCAUGUUCCACAAUGCUUCAAAAUGGCACAGAACCAACAAGGAAUCCUGAAACUUUAAGAGUCGGCACCUCCUUCCAUGUCUCCCCAACUACAAUCAAGUUCUCAAAUUCUCAGUUGAUUUUCCUUCACAAAAGACACCUUCAAUGUCUGAGAAACACAACAGAUGGUUACACAUUUGAAUGAAUUAUGUCAGGAAUGGGAUGGCCCAGUCAUAUUGCUGAGAUAUCAGGGGUAGAAAGAGAGUGACCUCAGGAAAAGCUAGUGCAAAGACUGAGGUUAUCAGAAUCAUGUAUUGCUUGAGUGUUGUUUGACUAGAAUCCACAUGAGUGACCUACAGUUCCUAGGGACAGCUUGUUGGUCCUGAAAUCCAAGUGAGGAUUAUUAAUCUAUUCUAUACUAUAUGUUCAUAUAUAUAUGAAUUCUAUACUACCAUUUUUGCAUACUUAUAAAGAAAUAUCCUAUAUAGUGGGAGGGUCAAACCUUCAUUACCUUACCCUUUAUAAAAACAUUAAACAAGUGCUUCAAACCAGGCUGGUGAUGGGGAUAGAUAAGGUUUUGAAUGAAAAUCGGUGCACAAAAGUUCCUCUAGUUGUAUAUCAAUAUUGAAAAGAGAAUGUUGAAGGUUGAAAAUAUUAGACUAGCCAGUAAAUAUUAAGUCUAGGGAUAGGAAGAGAUUGAAGCUGACUUAAGACUGAAUAAGACAAGAAGAUGUGAAAAAGUAAAGUAACUACCAGACUCUGAGGGACACAUUGGCAACAUUUUAUAAAACCCCAAAGAUGUAAAAAUAAGAAACAUGAAUAUUCUGAAACCAAUAAAGUACUUUUAGGAAUUUAUCCUUCACACAUGGUGACUUUCAUAAAAGUUGUUUAUGGAAGACCAUUUGGCAAAAUUGCUUGUACUGUCAAAUAUUGAACGGAAGUUGGAUGUCUACCACAACAGAAUCUAUUAAUAAAAUAUGCAAAUCCACCUAAUUUAACAUUAUAUAACCAUUAAAAGUAUCCUGGGACAUAGUCAUGAUCUCAGAUAUAUUAUUUAGAGAAGCAACAGGAGGGUGGGACAGACAUGUAUAAUAAAAUACAUUUCUAAAAAUACACAGAACAGCAAAACUCAUACUUCAUAGAAAUCAGAAAAGUUUAACUUUUAAAUCACUUGUGUGCAAUGGAAGUACUGUUUGUUUUUCGUGAAUAAGGAAGAAAUUAACACUGGGGUGAAAACGAUAAAAAUUGAAAUCAGAGAAGACAGAAAUUUAAUGUAAAAACAUUCUAGGGUUAGAAAGAAGCAAGAAAUGGUAAAUAUUCUGAAUAAUGAAAGAGUGUUUUCUGAGUUAAAAUUUCCAGACUCGAGAAUUCCGUGGAUGGUAAGUAACAUUACAAAUGGAAUGGCAUUCAUGCUUUCAAUUGUAGAAACAAUGAAAUUUAUCUUAUAAAGUCAGAAGUUCCUACUUCAAAUGAGAGCUUGUCAUCUCAAAUACCACUCCUGGAACAUUAGAUGAACAUGAUUUCAGUGUCAGGACAUAAAAUAUCUAUAGUGCUUUUAAAAUUAUAUCUUACCCAAAUUACUCUUCUAGUGAACAUAUAUAUAUAUAUAUGUAUGUAUAAAAGACCAGAUAAUCUCAGGAAUACAUGUAACAAAAUUGACAGAAUCAUUACAAAAAUCAGUACGGUAUUAAAAAGAAAACUGAAGUAGUGUUUCAUACAAAUUGAAUUUUAUGGCCCCAAACUACAAAAUUCUUGAUACUGAUGCUCAUGAGCACAGAAUGAAGGGUGCAGCUGCUGAUAUGUGUUGAUAUGCUAUGUGCUGCUAUGCUAUGCUAUGCUAUGCUAUGCUAUGCUAUGCUAUGCUAGAUAUGAUAUGAUAUGAUAUGAUAUGAUAUGAUAUGAUAUGAUAUGAUAUGAUAUGUGGAAACAAAUUCAGGCAUAUUGGUACAAACUGAGAAAAUUUAUCCGCACCAUCAACUUUCUUGGAUGAGG